GUGCGACUUUUAAUCCAGCGCUAAUUAGUCCCGGAUAAGGUAGGAGCUAAGUAGGAAGGCUAGACUGAUAGGUGCUACGGUGGCGGCCAGGCGAGAAGGAGCAUGAAGAAACUCAAGAAAGCGGAAAGGUAGGCGGCGCCCGUAGUUCUAAUACUUGAACGCUACCAGAACAACAGUAGGCACCUCUGUCCAACGGAGAGUACCGUUUCGAAGACGGACAUCAGCGACGACGACGACGACACACCAACUUCAGGUACGAGAACCACCGAUGGGGGGAUUGCCUUCCCCGGUACAAAAGCAAAGCGGGGCCCGGGGGUUUUAGAGUCCUGGCCGGGACGGCGGCAGCGUCUAGUGGUCCUGUGGCGUCAGCGGAGCCUAGGGGUGUGCGGCGGUUGUACCGCCACUGUUGACUACUCGUGCGAGGCAGAGGUCUCUCUAUAAUUGAGUCCUCGACGACCUGUAAAGGUGGCAUUACCUCGCAUAGUCGCCUCCACCUGCUGUCAUUAUCCCCUUGACCUUGUUCGCGGCCUUCGUCGACACUUGUAUCUACGUGUCAAGACGCUCCUUCUUUGGUCCCACAUGUCUCCUUCCCGCUAGAGUGGGGCCCAGAGGUUCGAUAACUGACCCUUCUACUUGGGGUCCGUCGGCCCGAUCUAACCAAACGUGUAUUGGGCAUUUUGAAUGGCUAAAAUUAAGCGGACCAUGUCCAGGAAUUACUAAGUCAUGCAAUAUAGCCAUAACUCACAUGAUCGUCAGAUGUCUAUCUAAACGCAGACAUACGACUCGAACAAGACUCCUAUUAUAAAAAAACUAACUUAGGUUACGUUCCAUUGAUCAUCUUUAUGUCAACAUGAUGAUUACUGUCAGAGCGAAAACCCUUCAAAAAACUACCUAUAAAUCAACUCCGUCGAUAAAGAUGGCACCUUAUUGACAUUAAAUCGAUACACUGUGACUACUUAAUAUAUUUCAAGUCUUUACGUACAUACAGCUAAAUUAAAUUACCUGUACUAGAAAAUCCAACUAAAGUCGACUCGUUAUCCUUUGUACCCACGUAUCAUUCCUAACGUAGCCGCGUGGUACGGGAAGAGCCCGCUGUAGAGAACUCUUUCGCUAUUCCCGUAAGCGAUUGCUAGGUUAUGUAUUACACUAACAUGGUCACGACCCCUGUUCAAGACUGAGAAAUACUCUCUCCGCACACCAAAAAUGUUAGAUUAGUGAACCCUCUUUCCAAAACCCUAGUCUAUAACCUUUACGUCCAGUUUACAACUCUCCUGUUUUACAUUAAUCCUUUAUCACACAGGUAUACACCCAUUUCGUCCACGCAUUUUGUGUGCUAGAACGGCCAUGGGACGAGAUUAUUUAACGAAUCUAGUCUCGUGUCCCCGAUUCUUCAUGUACUCCGACGUUAAACUGUCACUCAGACUCCUCUUGAUACAGCUCCUCUACUGUUCUUUACCCUCAGGCGAUUACUCUCGAUUGGACCGGUGACUUACCGUACGCUAGUUCUGUGUGUGUUCGCGAUACAAACUACUUUUAAUCUAGAACAUACUCACACCUGACACCUCGUAUGGUUUCAACUUCUCUAACUCUUUGUGUUCAGUACAGGACCUCCAUGACCUGAAGUACGCACACUUCGCUACGAGUGUUGUAUCCUUGGUUAACGUAUAUUAGACAAGAGGAUGUACGUGAAGUCUUACACGUAUCUCGAAGAAGCCGAACCCCUGUGUUUAAAACUACGCAUGCUAACAGACCAAAUAAACAACUUCCGUUUAAACCACCUGUACUUUGGAAAACGACUCCACUCUCUACCCGAAUCAAACCUUCUGGCCGAACGACUUUUACCUCAUCAACAGUUCGACAACUUUUAUGUAUGAUACACAUCUAGCGUUUUGAGUUCUCGUAGGUCGUUUACGACCAUCACCACUGUUACAAAGUCAUUAUAUGAUCCUUUGUCCAAUCGUAUUGAUAGUCACGGUCCGAUGGUCGAUGUUCCUUUCUCUUACUGACCGGUUACUGGUCGUCCCUCUUUCGGGGAAUCCUUCCUAACUCAUUCUCCUGGUUAAAGACGUCGUAAAAGACGGCGGUACCAGUGUUUUCCUGAUGUACCUGUCUGUAUCCACUACGAGGCUUUGUAGAACGUUUGACCCGUCCACGUUAUCGAUACCGCAGCUCCCUGUCUUUUCCUUGUUAAAAUGGUUCGGGUAUCUUAAAUCUAACGGUUACCUUUGAUUUUACUCACGUUUAAUACUCUGGAAAAAACCAAUCAUCAAUCACAAUGAAAGAGUUAUGAGCUCAGUUCUAAGAAGGAUUACCAGUGGUACCCUAGCUGUUUUGAGAAAUCCACCGCCUCUUCAAACUAUACUCGGAGAUUCCAACUGCUAAGACUUCAAUAACCCAAAAACGAAGGUUGACUUUACUAAGGAAAUAUAGACUCAUGAUACCUCUACCCGACACUUGAAUGGUCUUGUUCCUUCCCCUACGGGCUCUGACUCUACUACCGCCGCCAGCGCUACGUAUCGACGUCCUCACCUGUUGUUUCUGUUUAUGAGGGAACCUAAGCAGCACUAAGACCUUACCCUCCGUCCAGCGACGACGAUGGCGGGUACUUCGACUGCUACUAGUCACCGGCAGUACGUCGCCGCUCCACCGCCAACACCUCCCCUCCCCUCUGCGCGCCCGUUUUUGGUUGUGCUGCUUCCUUCCCCUACGGAGUCCACCGCUACCAGUACUGCCAGUGAUAUAACACUAUACAAUAAACGUAUAUUUACUAAGUCCCCUGGGACUAACAAGCUUCUACCCCGGGUAGAGAAAGAUUUGACGUUUCUUCACUUCCUCGUUACCAUACGGAACGACGACCUCCUUUAGGCCUAGUCUCACAUUAAAUCGUGUACUGCAGUACUCUUUUUAAGACUCCAGCGCCUCUUCCUAUUCAACGAGUGAUAAACUCACACCCGGCUCUUUAAAAACUUUGUCUGAGCUAUGAGUUCGUUCGACACUCGAAAUGACGACCCAUAAAAGAAUACACUAUAGUUCAUGGGUGAUGAUAUUCGCAUGAAAUAAGUAACUAACUCCGAUCUCACUAAGUACGAGGUUCCCCUACAUUGGUUGGUAGAUUACACGACCGUCGAAACCCACGUCCUAAUCUGUUACCACUAGUACAAAUUACCAAGAGUCUGAUGUAACUCCAACAUCGGGUACAACAUUAGCCGCUAAAUCGGCAUAUGAGGAAAGCAAGGAUUUAUAUUUAGAAAAAUCUCCAAAGUUUACCUGAUAUUGUAUGCCUACAUAUAUCUG
rnacentral:rRNA from 1 species